UUCCGCGCUCUGACUCUCUGCC
rnacentral:miRNA from 1 species